UACGAACCGUGCGAACGUUGUUCGGAAUCACUGGGCUUAAAGGGCGCGUAGGCGGCUUGCCAAGUCAGGGGUGAAAUCCAGCAGCUUAACUGUUGAAGUGCCUUUGAUACUGGCGAGCUCGAGGGAGGUAGGGGUCUGUGGAACUUCUGGUGGAGCGGUGAAAUGCGUUGAUAUCAGAAGGAACGCCGGUGGCGAAAGCGACGGACUGGACCUCUUCUGACGCUGAGGCGCGAAAGCUAGGGGAGCAAACGGG
rnacentral:rRNA from 1 species